rnacentral:rRNA from 1 species
UACGAAGGGGGCUAGCGUUGUUCGGAAUUACUGGGCGUAAAGCGCGCGUAGGCGGUUUUGCAAGCCAGAGGUGAAAUGCCUGAGCUCAACUUAGGAAUUGCCUUUGGGACUGCGAGGCUUUGAGGACUGGAGAGGUGAGUGGAAUUCCCAGUGUAGAGGUGAAAUUCGUAGAUAUUGGGAAGAACACCGGUGGCGAAGGCGGCUCACUGGCCAGUUUCUGACGCUGCAGCGCGAAGCGUGGGGAUCAAAACAGG